rnacentral:rRNA from 1 species
UACAGAGGGUGCGAGCGUUAAUCGGAAUUAUUGGGCGUAAAGCGUGCGUAGGCGGCGAGGUAAGUGAGGUGUGAAAUCCCAGGGCUUAACCCUGGAACUGCACUUUAUACUGCCUUGCUCGAGGGCUGGAGAGGAGACUGGAAUUUACGGUGUAGCAGUGAAAUGCGUAGAGAUCGUAAGGAAGACCAGUGGCGAAGGCGAGUCUCUGGAAAGCUGCUGACGCUGAGGCACGAAGGCCAGGGGAGCAAACGGG